rnacentral:rRNA from 1 species
UACGAAGGGGGCUAGCGUUGUUCGGAAUUACUGGGCGUAAAGCGCACGUAGGCGGGUCGUUAAGUCAGGGGUGAAAUCCCGGAGCUCAACUCCGGAACUGCCUUUGAUACUGGCGAUCUAGAGAUCGAGAGAGGUGAGUGGAAUUCCGAGUGUAGAGGUGAAAUUCGUAGAUAUUCGGAAGAACACCAGUGGCGAAGGCGGCUCACUGGCUCGAUACUGACGCUGAGGCACGAAAGCGUGGGGAGCAAACAGG